AGAGGAUUAUUUUCCGAAGCAAUAUGCCAGAGCCUUUGCCAAACUAGGUUAAUAUUUAUAUUAUCCUUAGGGAAGACAGAGUCUGUAGGCUGAGGAGACCGUGAAUUUCACCUUAGCAGAAGGAAACCAAACAUAAAGCAAAAUCAUUUGGCCACCAAUAUUCAAUCAAGUGAACUUUCAAGGUGGUGGGAUUCAAGAACUUCAGAUCUGUCUCAAACUCCAGCUCAAGUUUCAGCAGGAAGGAAGAAUUUAGAACUGAAUAUAAUUGAAGCUAACUACGUAAGUAGCGAAGAUGAAAGUAGCAGUGAUCGGAGGAGGGAUAAGCGGUCUGAUCUCUGCGUACGUUCUUGGGACAGCAGGGGUUGAGGUGGUUUUGUAUGAGAAGGAUGACUACUUGGGAGGCGCCCAUGCCCGAACCUUCACCGUCGACGGCGUCCAUUUGGACCUUGGCUUCAUGUUCUUCAAUAGCGUGGCUUCUCCAAAUAUGAUGGAGCAGUUGGAAAGUCUUGGAGUGGAGAUAGAAGCUUCAAAUAUGUCAUUCGCUGUGAGCUUACUAGACAACAAGGGCCAUCGAGGAUGCGAAUGGGGAAGCCGUAAUGGGUUAUCCAGCUUGUUUGCACAGAAAACUAAUGCCUUCAAUCCCUACUUCUGGCAAAUGCUUCGGGAAAUAAUCAAGUUUAAGGCCGAUACUCUCAAGUAAGUUUUUCUUAUUCUCUUUCCCCUAAUCUGCAAUAAAAUAUCUUUUCUUUCUUUCUUUCUUUCUUUCUUUCUAAGAUCGAGUUUUUCAUUCACUGGUGACCCAUCAUGACCCAAACAAUGGGGGAGAGAGAUGGGUUUCGUCUGAAUUGUUUCAUCGUUCAACCACCUGUGAAGGAAAAAUUUGUUUUGUUAUUCUUUCUAAAUUGUUAAAUAAAUCAACGACCUCAAACUAAUAUAAAGUAGAGUUGCAUUUUGUAUAUUUUAUUAUUUUCUAUUCUACCUUAAAACUUGAAAAAUCAUUACUUUCAAACCGAAAAUCCAAAUUUUAUGAUCCUGAUGUCGUUAUAAAUCUAUUAUUAAAUACUAUCUAAUGAUAUGAAAAUUAAAAAAAAAAAAUUGUCAAAAAUAGAAAUUUAAAAUAUUCAUUUAAAAGUGAGUCCCAUAUGCAUGGUUGUCAAGAGACUCAAGACAUCCUCAGUGUCUAGACACCUUGGAAGUCUUAUUGGUAUUGCCUUACAUCCAGAGCCCCUCUAAUGCCUUGGAUUGCUUAGAUGGCAUGACGACCAUGCUCACAAGAUUAUAAUGAAAUAUUACAUUAAAUAAGAAGAAAAUCAAAUCCUUUUCAAACCAUUUUUAGAAUACACGGAUUUUAUAAUAAAAUACACCUAAUCAUGGCCAACCUUCUUAGGGGCAUUUUGCUCAAUUUCUCAUCAUUUUUUUAAACAAGAAUUUCAUAAUGAAAUACACCUAAUCAUGACCAUGUAAGAUUUCCUAUUAGGUGGGCUAGCAUAGUCAAAGAUUUGUU